GACGAACUGCCCAAACGUUGUUCGGAAUCACUGGGCUUAAAGGGCGCGUAGGCGGCGAAUCAAGUCAGGGGUGAAAUCCGGCAGCUUAACUGUCGAAGUGCUUUUGAUACUGGUUUGCUCGAGGGAGAUAGGGGUCUGUGGAACUUCUGGUGGAGCGGUGAAAUGCGUUGAUAUCAGAAGGAACGCCGGUGGUGAAAGCGACGGACUGGAUCUCUUCUGACGCUGAGGCGCGAAAGCUAGGGGAGCAAACGGG
rnacentral:rRNA from 1 species